AAAAAAUAGCUGUAUCUAUCGAACACUGCAUUUCAGGGCUUAAAUUAAGCAUAUGUCCCAGUCCAUGAUCACACAAUUUUGAGACAAGAUUGGAAGUUCAUUGUACUUUAGAUAAUUGAUUUAUACAUUGAAUUAAUUUCAAGUGUUGUUUACCUCUGAUCCUAUAGGCUGAUAUACCACAGACUUGCUAUUUCCAAAGUUGAAAACUACCCUCACAGCCGUUAAUGUAUUAACAAAAAAUAAUAAGACAUGAUGUAACUAUCUAAGAUGUGGNNNNN
rnacentral:lncRNA from 1 species